rnacentral:lncRNA from 1 species
GUUCAAAUAAAUUUCAUGUUUAUGGAAUAGGUGAAAAACUAAAAGCAGCAUUAAGUAGAUUACAUGGAGAUAAAUUUCAAAUUAUGUAUAAUGAAUAUAAUAAAAUACCAAUAAAUUUCUUAACAUGUUCAUAUAUUUGCGAACGUAUAAUAAAAAAUAAUCAUAGCAAUAUAAUAAUUAUUUAUAAUCAUUUUAAAUCCGCUAUAGCGUUUGACACAACAAUUUUAAGUGUAGUUUCUAAAAAACAAUUGAAAAGUAUGAACAAAAAAGAAUUAGCCACUUUUGAAUUUGAACCUGAAUUAGAUUAUAUUUUUGACGAUAUUUAUGAGUUCUAUUUUUCUUCGCUUUUGUAUAAUUGCAUUAUUCAAAAUUUGGCUGCUGAACAGUCGGCGAGGAUGACAGCUAUGGACAAUGCUUCUUCAAGCGCAACGGAUAUGCUCGAAUCAAUAUCCUUAAGAUUUAACCGUGCGAGACAAGUAAUGCCCCAAAAUAAAAUAAAAUCAUAUAAAAAAUUAUAAAAUUACAAAUGUUUUUAUGUUGCAUACGUAUAUGUGUUAUGUUUUUUUUUUUUUUUUUAGUCAAAAAUUACCCUAGAACUGAUUGAAAUUAUAUCUGGUGCCAAUGCGUUAUGAUGAACAUUAAAAAAAAGAAAAAAAAAAGUAUACCAUACCAUAACAUACCAUACCAUACUAUAACAUACCAUAACAUAACAUACCAUAACAUAACAUACCAUACCAUACCAUACUAUAACAUACCAUAACAUACAAUAACAUACAAUAACAUACAAUAACAUACCAUAACAUACAAUAACAUACAAUAACAUACCAUAACAUACAAUAACAUACCAUAACAUACAAUAACAUAACACAUAGCAUAACACAUAGCAUAAAACACGAACCAAUUAACAAUUAACAACUAACAAUUAACAAUACAGAAGAGAGUAAAGCUUUUAUCAUUUCUUGAGUAAAUACUUAAACGUUUAUUCAUUACGUACUGAGAAAAAAAAAAAAACACAUAUACGUACAUACACACAUACAUACAUAUGUAUAUAUAUAUAUAUUAAAAAACAGGUAUAUAAUAAACAUUAUCAUCCAAAUAUCCUUUGUCA